rnacentral:rRNA from 1 species
UACGUAGGGGGCAAGCGUUGUUCGGAAUUACUGGGCGUAAAGGGCGCGUAGGCGGCACGGCAAGUCGGGAGUGAAAGCCCGGGGCUCAACCCCGGAGGGUCUCUCGAAACUGCCGAGCUAGAGUGCGGAAGAGGCAAUCGGAAUUCCCAGUGUAGCGGUGAAAUGCGUAGAUAUCAAGAGGAACACCUGAGGUGAAGACGGGUUGCUGGGCUGACACUGACGCUGAGGCGCGAAAGCUAGGGGAGCAAACGGG